rnacentral:rRNA from 1 species
AUUGAACGCUGGCGGCAGGCCUAACACAUGCAAGUCGAGCGAGCGGCGGACGGGUGAGUAAUGUAUGGGGACUGCCCGUUAGAGGGGGAUAACUACUGGAUACGGUUGUUAAUACCGCAUACUAUCGGAUAACCCAUAUGGGAGUAGCUAGUAGGUGAGGUAAUGGCUCACCUAGGCGACGAGCCCUAGCUGGGCUGAGAGGAUGAUCAGCCACACUGGGACUGAGACACGGCCCAGACUCCUACGGAGGCAGCAGUAGGGAAUAUUGCGCAAUGGGCGCAAGCCUGAUGCAGCCAUGCGGCGUGUGUGAAGAAGGCCCUAGGGUUGUAAAGUACUUUCAGUCGGGAGGCGUUACCGACAGAAAAAGCACCGGCUAACUCCGUGCCAGCAGCCGCGGUAAUAC